rnacentral:rRNA from 1 species
CACGUAGGGCGCAAGCGUUGUCCGGAAUUAUUGGGCGUAAAGGGCUCGUAGGCGGUUUGUCGCGUCGGGAGUGAAAACCCAGGGCUUAACCCUGGGCUGGCUUCCGAUACGGGCAGACUAGAGUACUGCAGGGGAGACUGGAAUUCCUGGUGUAGCGGUGAAAUGCGCAGAUAUCAGGAAGAACACCCGUGGCGAAGGCGGCUCUCUGGGACGGUACUGACGCUGAGACGCGAAAGCGUGGGGAGCGAACAGG